UACGGGGGGGGCAAGCGUUGUUCGGAAUUACUGGGCGUAAAGGGCGUGUAGGCGGCCAACUAAGUCCGACGUGAAAUCCCUCGGCUUAACCGGGGAACUGCAUCUGAUACUGGAUGGCUUGAGUUCGGGAGAGGGAUGCGGAAUCCCAGGUGUAGCGGUGAAAUGCGUAGAUAUCUGGAGGAACACCGGUGGCGAAGGCGGCAUCCUGGACCGACACUGACGCUGAGGAGCGAAAGCCAGGGGAGCAAACGGG
rnacentral:rRNA from 1 species